rnacentral:misc_RNA from 1 species
UAGCACCGCUCGAGCCCGCCCCUCGGGGCGGAGGCUCGGUGUUGGGGACCCGCGGGAUGGGGCUCUCGGCCCCGCCCCCCGCGGCCCUGAAAAGCAGUGGCGGCCCGUCACGGCAAGCCCCCAGCGGAGUAGAACUUUACGUCUCGCUUGGGCGCCCUGGCUGGGACAGCCUCGAACCCAAUCACUUUAUACCC